UAUAAGGAAGUAGCUUGUCGACAUACGGCUCAAUUGUUAUAAAACGUUUAAAAGUUUUUUUUUUUUUGAUUAAGUAAUUUAUUGUUUUUUUUUGUGCAAAUUUAGUGGAUAAAAUUUCAUAAAUGUUCAAAUUUUGGAGUGUCAUAUUUUUCAUUAUUUUGAUAAUGUACAUCGCUAUUGAAAUUGAAGCAGCAACGCCUUGCAAGGCUGACGGGGAUAGAUGUAUGACUGCUUCUCAAUGCUGCAGUGGAUUUUGCCGACCUGUGAAACCGAAGUACUGUCAAACAAGAAAAUUUAUAUAAACACAACUCCUUUUAAAUAAAAAUAAAUAAAUAAAA